CAUAAGCAGCAGAGUAAUGCUGUUUUACUUAAUACAGAACAAAAAGGUGAAAUUAAAUAUUGUCUGCAUUUUAACUAUAUACUUCUCCUCUGAGACCUACAGCAUUUCCUGUUUGUAGGAAAUCAGGGCUUAGAACAGUGAUAGAGCCUAAUUUUUCUGGGAUACCUUGUAAUUCAAGGGAUAUGGCUUGGGUUUGUUUUUUCCCAUCCUUUAAACACUGCCUGGUUCAGCCUCUCUCCCCAACUCUUCACUGAGACAAUGAGCCAGCAGUUGACUGAUUUUGAGGUUCGUUAAUUUACUUUAAUCCUAUCAAUGUAAUCCAUUUUGAUCAAACUCAAUUAGACUGCAAUUAGACUUUAUGGCAUUGUGCCUGUAUCUCACCUCCGGCCCGUGUGGAAAGGAUUUCUGCAGCCGGGGUUGUCACAUCUGCUUCCAGCGCAGCAGGUAUCAGGUUUGGGGCUGAAGUACUUGCAAAGGCUGUGAGAGAAAGGAAGAAACGUGGGAACAAGAGAGAAAGAGCGCUCAGGCUCUGCCCACAGCACUCACAGCUCCCGCCUGCCUGCUGGCACCACAUCCAUGGACAAACACGAGCUGCACUGAGAGAUGCUCAUUUGGCAGCAUUUUUUGGCUUCUCCACUGAAGUCCUGUCCCAACCACGUCUAUCUGACCUGCUGCAUGUUCUGUAAACGCCCUCAACCUGUCUGUGGUGUAACUGGGAUUUCUGAUGUCCUGCUCUCCUCUGCGGUGGUGGUGGAAGGCAGGGAGGCUGAAAGAGUGAGAAAUUAAGUGGCUGCAAGCAGCAAUAAAACCUGUGUUAAAACCUUAAGGAAAAAUGGUUUCGGGAACCAGCUUUUGAUUUCUGUGUUGCAUAUAAUAAAACAUACACUCGUGAUUCUAUACGGUAGAAAAAUGCAUUUUAACACUUGCUCUUCUGUGGAUUAUGAAGAGCAUAAUUAACACCUAGAAAUCCCAAGAAACAGUAAUACAGUCUGUACUUUCAGGUUUUCAGGAUAUUAUGAUUAUUUCAGAAAAAAAAAAA